CUGAGACAAGUGCUUGUGACCAUCAACCAAAACUUGCGGUCAUCCGAUGUUCAGUACUUCAGUACUUCAGUACUUUUAUUAGACAAUGAAGUAUACACUCCAUUCACAGUAUGGACAUGUACACUCCGCAGACGACAAUGUAACUUUCAUGAAGGAAUCUGCAAUGACUUUCUUUGGACUGUUACCUUGUGAUCUAGCUUGUUAAAAGACCUGCUCGCCUAAGCGAUUUAGUUUACAAAAAGGGGUCAUAAAUAUACUGAUAUCAUAUUACAUGCGUUCGUCCCGAUAUGUAUGUAAUAUUUAUUUGACAUCCUUUACAUUUCUGGAUAUAUUAUCAGUUUAAGCAAACACGUUUAGACCCUGUAGAUUUAAUAUUGGAUAAGUGGGCGAGUUUUAUCAGCAUAACGGUUAAAAAAAUAUGAAACGUGUCUACCAGACAACAGAUUUAUGAUAAAAGAUUGAUUUUAAUGCAGAA
rnacentral:lncRNA from 1 species